rnacentral:rRNA from 1 species
GACGAACGCUGGCGGCGUGCUUAACACAUGCAAGUCGAACGGAAAGGCCCCUUUGGGGGUACUCGAGUGGCGAACGGGUGAGUAACACGUGAGUAACCUGCCCUUGACUUCGGGAUAACUUCAGGAAACUGGGGCUAAUACCGGAUAGGAAUCCUUGCUGCAUGGUGGGGGUUGGAAAGCUUCGGCGGUGUUGGAUGGACUCGCGGCUUAUCAGCUUGUUGGUGGGGUAGUGGCUUACCAAGGCUUUGACGGGUAGCCGGCCUGAGAGGGCGACCGGCCACAUUGGGACUGAGAUACGGCCCAGACGCCUACGGGAGGCAGCAGUGGGGAAUAUUGCACAAUGGGCGGAAGCCUGAUGCAGCAACGCCGCGUGCGGGAUGACGGCCUUCGGGUUGUAAACCGCUUUCAGCAGGGGCGAAGCUUGUGGUGACGGUACCUGCAGAAGAAGCACCGGCUAACUACGUG